rnacentral:rRNA from 1 species
ACCGCGUGAGGGAGGAAGGCUCUUGGGUCGUAAACCUCUUUUCUCUGGGAAGAAUUAACUGACGGUACCAGAGGAAUCAGCAUCGGCUAACUCCGUGCCAGCAGCCGCGGUAAUACGGGGGAUGCAAGCGUUAUCCGGAAUUAUUGGGCGUAAAGCGUCCGCAGGUGGCUAAUCAAGUCUGUUGUCAAAGCGCGGAGCUCAACUCCGUACAGGCGAUGGAAACUGGUUGGCUAGAGUUAGGUAGGGGUAAGAGGAAUUCCCAGUGUAGCGGUGAAAUGCGUAGAUAUUGGGAAGAACACCGGCGGCGAAAGCGUCUUACUGGGCCUAAACUGACA